GGAUGUAUGCUUAAGGUUUAGGGCUCAAGAAGAUGAUUUGGGAUAGGGAAAAUUUUAGGGUAUGACAAGCCACAUGAAUUUGUUCUUGCUGAGGAUUUUUUGCUUUUGAUCCUCUCUUUUUUGUUUUGUUUUUGCUUUCCCUGACUUUUGUCUGGACUGAUCUUUCGAGUUUGUAGUCCACCGGGAUGCCUUAAUUUUUGCCUAAGUCACUUAUUUUCAAGUUUUCGAGUUAGCAGGAUUUUCUUU
rnacentral:lncRNA from 1 species